rnacentral:pre_miRNA from 2 species
CUCUGUAUUCUUCCACAGCUUUCUUGAACUGCAACCUUCUUCAGAUUAGUUUCUAUUCUCACAUAUAUAUUACCAUAGCAUAGUUAUGUUAAUUUAAAUUGCAUCUGUUCGACUGAUUUGCGGUUCAAUAAAGCUGUGGGAAGAUACAGACA